ensembl:lncRNA
GUAAAGCUUCCUGAACCCCCGGGAGGCAGGAUCAAGCCUGGGCCGUGGACGCAGUGGUGUGCUGGUAAACAUCUAACUGCCGGCUCCCUGGCGGGUGAGGGAGGCCCCACUUUACAGCAUUGUGCAGUUUUGUGUUUUUGUUUUUGUUUCCUUUUGUGGAAAGCGCUCCCACCAUGGCAAGUUUUGCUAACAAGAUGGCAUGACUGAACGUGGAAUUGGGAAGAGGAAUCCCCAGCGGGCUCUCAGGAGCUAGAAGGAGCCUGCUCCAGCACACCGCCAAGGGGGUCAAUGCCUGGUCCACACGGCCACCUGCGCCUCCCUCCCCACUGGGGGCGUUGGAGUCCGAGGACACGCUUCAUUUCUCCUUACCGAUUAUGGAGUCAGGUGCCCAAGAAAGCACCUCCCUGUCUGCUCCCCUCCUCCACCUUCUUCUUGUCGACAAGUCCCGCUCCAGGGAUGUCCGAUUCCUGGAAAGAGAAGAGAAAGGUGCAGAACGGACAGAAAAUAAACUUUACUGAGUCCUAUUGUACGUCGGGUGGCAAGCCAGGCCCUUUACAAAGUGGAAUCAAUGAUCUGAUUUGAAAAGCAGAAAUAGAGACUUAGACGUAGAGAACCA